CAGUCGCCGCGGGAAUACGUAGGGUGCGAGCGUUAAUCGGAAUUACUGGGCGUAAAGCGUGCGUAGGCGGCUUCUUAAGUCGGAUGUGAAAUCCCUGAGCUUAACUUAGGAAUUGCAUUCGAUACUGGGAAGCUAGAGUAUGGGAGAGGAUGGUAGAAUUCCAGGUGUAGCGGUGAAAUGCGUAGAGAUCUGGAGGAAUACCGAUGGCGAAGGCAGCCAUCUGGCCUAAUACUGACGCUGAGGUACGAAAGCAUGGGGAGCAAACAGGAUUAGAUACCCCUGUAGUCCCUGUCUCUUAUAC
rnacentral:rRNA from 1 species